rnacentral:misc_RNA from 1 species
AACGCACCUUGCGCCCCUUGGCAUUCCGAGGGGCACGCCUGUUUGAGUGUCGUGAACUCCUCCACCCUCCACCUUUUUCGGAAGGCGUUGGGCUGGGAUUUGGGAGCUUGCGGGUCCCUGGCCGAUCCGCUCUCCUUGAAUACAUUAGCGAAGCCCUUGCGGCCUUGGUGUGAUAGUCAUCUACGCCUCGGUUUAGCGAAUACAUGGGAAUUGCUUCCAACCGUCUUGCAAGAGACAAUCACUUCAAACUUGACCUCAAAUCAGGCGGGACUACCCGCUGAACUUAA